UCUUCCAGAUCGAGCGCAUUUACUACCCAGUUCUUGCGGUCAUUAGAGUUACUGGUAAGGGGACGGUCGCGGAAUCAAUGUUUUGUGUUGAUGCUCCACUCGUUUUGAAAAAGUAUGUGCUCAGUGUUACUGCUUCAGUCGGCGGGAUUACUGCACGAUGAAGUCCGGCUCCCGACUUUCCAAACAUUUUGUUUGCAAUCAAUAUUGGAACAAUGAAAUAAAAGAAUCGGAAAGAUUAAUACAGCGCGGAAACAGACCAUUCGCCCAUUCAGGCCAAUGGUGAUCACAGAACAAACCCGUGACUACAAUCACUGGAAGUUGACCCCAGACGUUGCUCUGAGAAAUCGCCGUGUAAUUUCUGUUACUGCGGGUCCAACAAUCUUCUAGGUCGUUGCUGCCUUUACUGCUUCUUUCAAGAGUCCUUCGGCAUCGAGGAGAAGACAUUCAUCGUCUGGAGUGAAUUUCGUGGCGAUUGUGAUCCUGAAUCGGGGGAAGUGUGGUCUCUCCAAAUGCAUCACCCGUUACCUGAUUGGAAUGUCUGCGGCGGAUCUAGUACUAGUCAUUAUCAAUGUAAUAUUGAAUCGAAUUAAUAACAUACAUUUCCCAGUUAAUCUCCAUAUUCAUCACUCCUGUGUGUGCAGUUAAAGCUGUUUUGUCUCUGGCAGCUUUGAACUGUUCGGUCUGGUU